GUCUACGGCCAUUCCACCCUGAAUGUGCCUGAUCUCGGAAGCAAAGCAGCGUCAGGCCUGGUUAGUACUUGGAUGGGUGACCACCUGGGAAUACUGGUUGUGGUAAGCU
ensembl:rRNA 5S_rRNA 5S ribosomal RNA